rnacentral:rRNA from 1 species
UACAGAGGGGGCAAGCGUUAUUCGGAAUUAUUGGGCGUAAAGAGCGUGUAGGCGGCCAUACAGGUCAGCUGUGAAAACUCGAGGCUCAACCUCGAGACGUCGGUUGAAACCGUAUGGCUAGAGUCCGGAAGAGGAGAGUGGAAUUCCCGGUGUAGCGGUGAAAUGCGCAGAUAUCGGGAAGAACACCCGUGGCGAAGGCGGCUCUCUGGGACGGUACUGACGCUGAGACGCGAAAGCGUGGGGAGCGAACAGG